GACGAACGCUGGCGGCGUGCUUAACACAUGCAAGUCGAACGGAAAGGCCCUGCUUUUGUGGGGUGCUCGAGUGGCGAACGGGUGAGUAACACGUGAGUAACCUGCCCUUGACUUUGGGAUAACUUCAGGAAACUGGGGCUAAUACCGGAUAGGAUCUCCUGCUGCAUGGUGGGGGUUGGAAAGUUUCGGCGGUUGGGGAUGGACUCGCGGCUUAUCAGCUUGUUGGUGGGGUAGUGGCUUACCAAGGCUUUGACGGGUAGCCGGCCUGAGAGGGUGACCGGCCACAUUGGGACUGAGAUACGGCCCAGACUCCUACGGGAGGCAGCAGUGGGGAAUAUUGCACAAUGGGCGGAAGCCUGAUGCAGCAACGCCGCGUGCGGGAUGACGGCCUUCGGGUUGUAAACCGCUUUCGCAUGUGACGAAGCGUGAGUGACGGUAAUGGGUAAAGAAGCACCGGCUAACUACGUG
rnacentral:rRNA from 1 species